CAGCCGCCACCGACAAUCGCUCACUCAGCAUAUUCCGGCAGCCGUUACACCGAGGUUCACCGAGGUCUGCCUUCAACUCCAUCAAUCAACAAUCAACGCACUCCUGCCGCCGGCCAAGGGCUUCCUAAGCGACUCCAGGUUCCAGAAAAGAACCGCCGUUCUGCCCUUCCCUUGACCUUCAAACCAGGCGGGAAGUUGGUUGACUUCGUCUCAGAGUUAGAAGUCAAGGUUCAAGAACACACUCACAAUCAACCACUAGCAGCAGCCGCAGCAUUGCAGGUACAAAGUCACUGACACGACAGGCGAGAGGGGGAAAUUGGCCGCUCCAAGAGAACGACCUGAAUGUGAUAGGCGUGACAGGCACCGCGUUGGGAAUCCUAAGGCGAGUACCACUAACAGUCAGCUUACAUG